GGGACGGUAGCUCAAAGGAAGAGCGGCGGGUUCAUAACCCGAGGGGUGGGGGUUCGAGUCCCCCGCGUCCCG
rnacentral:tRNA from 1 species